AGUGAACGCUGGCGGUAGGCCUAACACAUGCAAGUCGAACGGCAGCACAGUAAGAGCUUGCUCUUACGGGUGGCGAGUGGCGGACGGGUGAGGCAUACAUCGGAAUCUACUUUUUCGUGGGGGAUAACGUAGGGAAACUUACGCUAAUACCGCAUACGAUCUACGGGUGAAAGCAGGGGAUCUUCGGACCUUGCGCGAUUGAAUGAGCCGAUGUCGGAUUAGCUAGUUGGCGGAGUAAAGGCCCACCAAGGCGACGAUCCGUAGCUGGUCUGAGAGGAUGAUCAGCCACACUGGAACUGAGACACGGUCCAGACUCCUACGGGAGGCAGCAGUGGGGAAUCUUGGACAAUGGGCGCAAGCCUGAUCCAGCCAUACCGCGUGAGUGAAGAAGGCCUUCGGGUUGUAAAGCCCUUUUGUUGGGAAAGAAAAGCUGCAGGUGAAUACCCCGCUGUUCUGACGGUACCCAAAGAAUAAGCACCGGCUAACUUCGUG
rnacentral:rRNA from 1 species